GCUGGGAUUGUGGCUCAGAGGUAGAGCGCUCGCCUAGCAUGCGUGAGGCACUUGGUUUGAUCCUUAGCACGGCA
rnacentral:tRNA from 1 species